UAGCGAAGGGGGCGUAGCGUGUUCGGAUUUACUGGGCGUAAAGGCGCGCAGGCGGCUCAUUUUGUCAGGCGUGAAAGCCCCGGGCUUAACCUGGGAGGUGCGUUUGAUACGGAUGGGCUAGAGUUCGGGAGAGGAGAGUGGAAUUCCCAGUGUAGAGGUGAAAUUCGUAGAUAUUGGGAAGAACACCGGUGGCGAAGGCGGCUCUCUGGACCGAGACUGACGCUGAGGCGCGAAAGCGUGGGAGCAACAGG
rnacentral:rRNA from 1 species